rnacentral:lncRNA from 1 species
UGACUCAAUUGAACUCUUCAAUCCUAAUCCAAUUAGGAGUCAUCUUAAUUUAUUAGAUCAAAAUUAAUUAGGACUUUAGGAAUCCCAAUCUAAUUAGGACUCAUAUAAUUUUAGUCCUAAUCCAAUUAGAACUUUAGGAAUCCUACUCCAAGUAGGACUCUUAUUAAAUAAGAUCAAACCCAAUUAAUUAAGUCCAAUUGAUUUAAUUAAAUUGCAAUCCAAUUGCAAUUAUUCCUUCUUCUACUCACUAACUCUUAGUGAGUUAAAAUAAUUAUCAAUCAAAUU